ACGCUGGCGGCACGCCUAACACAUGCAAGUCGAACGCAGUAGCAAUACUGAGUGGCAGACGGGUGAGUAUAAUGUGGGAAUCUGCCUUUUGGUUCGGAAUAACUCGGGGAAACUUGAGCUAAUACCGGAUAAGCCCUUACGGGGAAAGAUCUAUCGCCAAAAGAUGAGCCCGCACUUGAUUAGCUAGUUGGUGAGGUAAUUGCUCACCAAGGCAACAAUCAAUAGCUGUUCUUAGAGGAAGACCAGCCACAUUGGGACUGAGACACGGCCCAGACUCCUACGGGAGGCAGCAGUGGGGAAUCUUGCACAAUGGGGGAAACCCUGAUGCAGCGAUGCCGCGUGAGUGAAGAAGGCCUUUGGGUUGUAAAACUCUUUCGUCGGGGAAGAAAAUGACUGUACCCGAAUAAGAAGGUCCGGCUAACUUCGUGCCAGCAGCCGCGGUAAUACGAAGGGACCUAGCGUAGUUCGGAAUUACUGGGCUUAAAGAGCUCGUAGGUGGUUAAAAAAGUUGGUGGUGAAAUCCCAAGGCUUAACCUUGGAACUGCCAUCAAAACUUUUUAGCUUGAGUGUGAUAGAGGAAAGUGGAAUUUCUAGUGUAGAGGUGAAAUUCGUAGAUAUUAGAAAGAACACCAAAUGCGAAGGCAACUUUCUGGAUCACUACUGACACUGAGGAGCGAAAGCAUGGGUAGCGAAGAGGAUUAGAUACCCUCGUAGUCCAUGCUGUAAACGAUGUGUGCUAGACGUUGGAAAUUUUAUUUUCAGUGUCGCAGCAAAAGCGUUAAGCACACCGCCUGGGGAGUACG
rnacentral:rRNA from 1 species